rnacentral:rRNA from 1 species
UACGGGGGGAGCAAGCGUUGUUCGGAAUUACUGGGCGUAAAGGGCUCGUAGGCGGCCAACUAAGUCAUACGUGAAAUCCCUCAGCUUAACUGGGGAACUGCGUGUGAUACUGGAUGGCUUGGAUUUGGGAGAGGGAUGCGGAAUUCCAGGUGUGCGGUGAAAUGCGUAGAUAUCUGGAGGAACACCGGUGGCGAAGGCGGCCCCCUGGAUUGGAUCACGUGACGCUGAGACGCGAAAGCGUGGGGAGCAAACAGG